rnacentral:tRNA from 1 species
GCAGUGGUAGUUGAGUGGUAGAAUUCUCAUCUUCCACCUGAGAGACCUGGGUUUGAUUCUUGGCUAAGGCA